CCUACGGGUGGCAGCAGUGGGGAAUAUUGCACCAUGGGGGAAACCCUGAUGCAGCGACGCCGCGUGAGUGAAGAAGUAAUUAGUUACGUAAAGCUCUAUCAGCAGGGAAGAAAAUGACGGUACCUGAGUAAGAAUCCCCGGCUAACUACGUGCAAGCAACCGCGGUAAUACGUAAGGGGCAAGCGUGAUCCGGAUUUACUUGGUGUAAAGGGAGCGUAGAGGGUGAGCCAAGUAUGGAGUUAAAUGCCUCAGCUUAACUGCGGAACUGCUUGGGAUACUGGCGAACUAGAGUGCGGGAGGGGUAAGCGGAAUUCCUAGUGUAGCGGUGAAAUGCUUAGAUAUUAGGAGGAACACCGGUGGCGAAGGCGGCUUACUGGACCGUAACUGACGUUGAGGCUCGAAAGCGUGGGGAGCAAACAGGAUUAGAUACCCUUGUAGUC
rnacentral:rRNA from 1 species